rnacentral:rRNA from 1 species
AUUGAACGCCGGCGGCAGGCCUAACACAUGCAAGUCGAGCGGAUGAAGGGAGCUUGCUCCUGGAUUCAGCGGCGGACGGGUGAGUAAUGCCUAGGGAUCUGCCUGGUAGUGGGGGAUAACGUCCGGAAACGGGCGCUAAUACCGCAUACGUCCUGAGGGAGAAAGUGGGGGAUCUUCGGACCUCACGCUAUCAGAUGAGCCUAGGUCGGAUUAGCUAGUUGGUGGGGUAAAGGCCUACCAAGGCGACGAUCCGUAACUGGUCUGAGAGGAUGAUCAGUCACACUGGAACUGAGACACGGUCCAGACUCCUACGGGAGGCAGCAGUGGGGAAUAUUGGACAAUGGGCGAAAGCCUGAUCCAGCCAUGCCGCGUGUGUGAAGAAGGUCUUCGGAUUGUAAAGCACUUUAAGUUGGGAGGAAGGGCAGUAAGUUAAUACCUUGCUGUUUUGACGUUACCAACAGAAUAAGCACCGGCUAACUUCGUG